rnacentral:lncRNA from 1 species
ACUAUAUGGAUUAUCACUAUCUACGCAACCUCUGAAGCUCACCUUUUUUGUUAGUUAUUCAUAUGAUAUUGUUUAUUAAUUAUUAUUUAUUAGUUAUUACUGUUGUGAUACUUAGGACUUUUAAUAAUGAAAUUAAUUACAUGUGGUUGACUCUUAAACAAUAAAGUAAUCAGUUACUGAACAGCAGCAAGUCUUCGGGAGUCCUUAUUUCUUCCUCUAACCACAAAAAGGAUAAAUAUUUACUUCAUUGUCGUCAUAUAGGAUUCAAGAUGUCAAAUUUUACACCGAGACAGCAAGUGUAUUUUCUUAUAGUGGUGGAGGAUAUCCUCCUCCUUAGGGAAGGAAUUUAAUGAGAGGAAUAUGGAAAUCACCAAUCUGAUCCCUCAUUAAUUUGGAUGGGCCUUUCUGACCUUAAAAUUAAUCAAGAAGAGAUAUAUUAAUUAUAAUGUAUAUAGCUGGAUACAUUUCUGGAUCAUUAGUACACAAGUUUUCUUAAUUUACAUACUAUAACUUCAACAUUUAGGAUCAUAUCUACGAUAUCUUUAUGAAUGAUCAAACACGUUGAGGUUUUCGAGGAUGAGUUAUCAGCAUAAGCGUAUGGAAAUAUAUAAUAUUCUAUGACUAUUCAUAUAUACCCUAAUAAAGUUAUAGCGAUUUCCCGCUGGGCUGACAGGAUGGUUUUCCUAACCACAAAUGGAAUAAGCUUGUCAAUGAAUCCUUCUGAGUAAUUUUCCUUAUCCCAUUCAGUCCAAACCUUACUCUCAUCCUUUGGCCGUGACUCCAAAACAUUUUUUAAAACGCAAUUUUCAUAUAGAAACUCCUUUUGUCAUUUCCUUUAUUGUUGAUCCCAUCAUUGACCCGGCAUAAGCCUCAUAUCAAUAUAUUCUAUGAGCGAAAAUGUCUUGAUUGAUAAUCUCCUAAUGAUAUAAAUUCGCCAUUUCAACGUUUUCAAAUAUUAUAGAAUUAAAGCGAAAACGAAAUAUACAAUGCUGAAGGUUAUCAGAUUAUGAUUUAGUGUUUCUGAAAUCUUCAUCUAGAAUAAUGGACGUUGUAACUGGUCAAUUUAAUUGCUUCAUCGAAUUUCAUAUAGUUAUUAAGAUACUUACUGUGACUGUGCUUCAUCCAACUACUGUGAAAUCUAGAUACCUCUAAUAAACGAUCGGAACGACAGGAUAAAAUCCAAUUAAACGAAGUAUAUUUUCGUUGUAAAAACGUUAAUAUUAUAUUAAUUUAACUAUAACCCUACUAUUUACAUAGUCUGUUCUAAAUAGUAUAUAGAUAAUAUAGAAUAUAUCUGCUUGAAUAUGUACCUUUAAUCUCAGGAAUUUUAAACUUAUAUUAUAGGUACAGAACCUAUGUGUAGAUUAUUCAUCAUGUUAAGCAUGAAUUAAUCCAUAUUUUACCUAUUUUAAUGCAACCAAUCGUUAUUAUCGCCACAACUCAAACUGAAGACACGGCACAUAGAGAAGUUGGGUUGAUAUUUAUUUCAUUUCAAAUUUAUUCUGAUAAUUAUUUGUGACAGCAAGUUCAACUUGUACUUUUGGAUAUUUAUGUAUUACAUUAUAUUUAGAUAUGAAUGGUAUGAAUCUUUAAUUGGAAUAAUUCAUGAUUACAAUUAUCACUCGAUGUAGAGUAAUUCACUCAUAAAGUAACAAAUAAACUAUUUCUUGUUCA